rnacentral:tRNA from 1 species
GCCCGGAUGGUGGAAUGGUAGACACGAAGGACUUAAACUCCUUUGGCCAGCAAUGGCUGUGCGGGUUCAAGUCCCGCUUCGGGUACUA